rnacentral:tRNA from 2 species
GGGCCCAUAGCUCAGUUGGUUAGAGCAUCUGACUCAUAAUCAGAGGGUCGCAGGUUCGAGCCCUGCUGGGCCCACCA